AGAAAUUAAUUAAGUUCAAGAAAUUCCUUGAGGUCAUGUCUCAUUUUUUCAAUAUUUCCACUGCAUGUUAUUUCCACAGGAACAGAAUUGAAAACAUCAUGAAAAAAACUAUUCUGCAUAGUCUCUACCAUUCAUAGUGGUAGAGAAAUUGGCUCUACUUCUGUAGUCUGGUAUAGGAGUUGAUUAGAAGGAUUGUUGGAAUGUCUCCAUUUGGUGAUUUUUCUUAUACAAGUUCUUCUGAGGCAAUCUCAAGUAUGAAUUAAUUUUCAAGGAAAAUAAUGAAUGUAAAUAUGUGAAAAUUAUAGUCAAGCUUGGAAUAAUUCACAAUGAAGAACAAGUUCAAAGUUUAUCUCAAGACAUGGCUGGACUGUUGGAAAAAGACUCUAAAGAAAAGGAUACAAUAGCAAAAUGUGAGAUGGAAAUGGCUGCGAAAAAUUGUGGAAAGCUUUCCUACAUUACUGCGAAGAAUCCGAAGAAAUUAAAGGUCACAUUCAUACAGGUGAAAUAAUUUAUCAAAUAGAAACAGAGUGUAGCAAUUUUUUAUUAGUUGAAUUAGUAGGCUCUGGAACAGGAAUUUUCUCACUGUUAGUAUUUUUCAAGUGUUGCAACCAUUUGAGUCAUUCUUCAUUUACUAAAAGUUCUAAUUCUUCAUUUAAUUCAAAACUCAUUUUCCAAAUGUCUUAAAAAAAAUCUUGCUCUGAUAGCAUAGUGGCAAAGAAACCCAAGAGGGUAACAAAUUGACUAUCAAUUGAUUAUCAACAUUUUUCUUUAGUAGUUGUUGCUUUCUCUUUUAAAAUUUCCUCAAAUUCCUUGGUUCUACUUUGCUCAAUAUCAAUAUCUUCUUUUUUUAUGGUCCCAUAUAUUAUAUGGAGACCAUCUCUCUUGUGAACCUCUUGGACCCUAGUUAUCAAAUCUAAUACCUAAUCCACAGAACGAUCACUGUCUAAAUAGUGCUCAAUAAAAUAUUGUUCCAUAAUUACCUUUGCUGUCACAAGAAAUUCAUGAUUAACAUUUUGUCCUUUGAUAGUGGUGUGAAUCAUUCUCUUCAUUAACAGAGGAUCAGUUGAACCUGUAGUUCCCAAAAAUUAGGUUAACUCUUUAUAUGUUUAUAAUGGACCUUUCAUAAUAAAGCAGAUGUGGGAACUUCGUUUUUAGGCUUUUUAAAAAUUAUAGGAUCUAUGCGCAAUAAAACUUUCUUUUCUCUUUUUUUUGCAUAUCUCAUUUUUUCUGUGUCAGAAAUUGGUGCUGCCGGGAAUAUUCUGAUUUAGUAAGUCUCAAUGGAAUUUAUUACAACCAUCUUUGUUGCAACUUUUUUCUUUCUACAAUAUCUGAUACGAUGAUUGUUAUGCAAGCAACAAAUUUUAUUUUCUUGUACCCAUUCUCGUCAGCAGUCUGAAUCUAGCUGCUGGAAGUUACUGCAAGUAGAUGUAGUUCAUUUCAAAGUACAUGCAAUUGAAUUUACUAGUAUGGUUCUACUCACUGGCGGCACAUAUUUUUCUUCUUCCAAGAUCAGUAUCAGGAUGACUUUUUAUUUUGCUAUCUCACCAAACCACAGAAAUCAGAAAUAUAGAUGUUAUCAGUUUUAACAUUUAGUUCACUCACUUUUUUGUUCUAUUCAAAUUUCAAUGUUGUCGACAACUUGGAAACUAGCUCAGUGAGCUGUGGAUUGAAAAAUUAUGUUGUCACAGUUUUAAACAGAUUCUGAACUGCUAUGAGAGAUCAAUUAUUGGUAGUUCCUUGGGAAUAAACCACCUUCAUAAGAACUUCCUUAUUUUAUCAUCUUGAAAGAAAGUUGAAGGUUAUGAAUGGUUUCUUUCAAGUCUUUAUUACAAUAAGAGAAACUUUGAUUUUCGAAUAUUAGAAAAAUAACAGACAUUUGUAUGAAACUGAAAGUAUUGUCACAUACCCCAAAUUAAAAGAGUAGUCCACAAAUUUUUAUUCUGAAACAUAAAAUACAAAAAUAUGUUAAUAAAACAAUAUCUUAAGAUAUCCAAGAAUAUUUCUUACAAUUUAUAGUGCCUAUUUGAUUCGAUGGAAUAUAGAAGUUGUUAAAUAAACUCAAAUCACACUUGUGAAAUUGCCGUAGGAAGGAAACUAAUAUUGCGUUUUUUGUUAUUAUGUGAAUAGACUUUAAGAUGAAAUCUCUGUUUUCUGAGCAAUACUUCAAGUUUGUUAAAUAAACUCAAAUCACACUUGUAAAAUUGCCGUAGGUAGGAAACUAAUAUUGCUUUUUUUGUUAUUAUGUGAAAAGACUUUAAGAUGAAAUCUCUGUUUUCUGAACAAUACUUCAAGUUUGUAUACCGACAUAAUAUUUCAAAUUGCAUUAUACGUAAAAUAUAAUAAAAUAAAGAAAUGUUCCCAACCUAUAACCUAACCUAUAACAGUCGAUUUGGAACGUCUUUCAACGUUGUCGACUCCUUAUCACUACACUUUUCGAUCCUUCGCAAUCUUCCUGUCUUGGGUUUUGUUUUAUUUACCCGACCUCAAUAAAUAUAUCGAUUUAAAAUUG